rnacentral:piRNA from 1 species
UAGAGAAGGCGAGUCAAGGGCAAAGGUU